UCUCUCUCGCUCUCCCCAGUCUUCUGAAUUGAUAUGACAGAAUAUGAGUCGAAGCCGACGACGGGGGUGUGGUGGGACAUCAACACGUGUCCGGUUCCCGAAGGUUACGACCCUCGUCAUGUCCGUCCGAGUAUAGAAGCGGCGUUGUUCAAAUUGAUGGGUCCUCAUCCAGUGGUCAUCUAUUGCAUAGGCAACCUAAAAUACAUCUCUCGUAGCCUCUUGGAAGAGAUCUCUUCCUCUGGAAUCCGUUUUAAACACACCCCCUUCGGUUGGUUAAUCUCUCUUUUUUUUCUAUCAUAAUUAAUUAAUGCAUAGACUCAGUGCCGGUCCGGACUCGUGUGGAGCCUAAAGCAGACAACAAAAAUGCUGCCGUUUAACCAUAAUUAAAUUUUACUAUAUUUUAAACAUAUAACCACAAUAAUACCAAAUAUUAUUAAAACAAGUUUUUAAAAUAAAAACAUCGAAACAUUAUCUGCAACUCAUCUCGUAAGUUUGUUCUCUUUAUGUUUACAGUUUCACUUUGUUAAUUUUAUUUUUUGAUAACUUUCUUACAAAUUCUUAAAACAAAAAAAUAUAAAUUUAUAAAAUAGAGCAAAACAUAUUAUAAAUCACUUUAACAUCAAUUUCACUUUAUAAAUUUUAAUUGAGAUUUCAUAGAGUUUCGUUGAAUAUUAUAGAACCUAUGAUAAUUUUAGGUGUUUGAAUUUCAAAAAAAUUCAAAAACUUUAGAAAAGAAUAAAAUAAGAAAUAAUAAAAAUGCAUCUAUUCCUACUAUAACCAAUCACAAUUUUAUUGUGGAAUAUGAACAAUCUAUAAUUCAAGUUAAUUAUUAUAAUAUUUCUUGUUCAUACAUUUAUUCUAGCAAAUAUUAACCGACAUAGAUAGAUAAGAAAAACUGGGAAAAAUGCCUUGAUAAAGUAGAUUAGUUUUAAAUAAAUUUCUUAUCUAGUAAUAUACCAUUGACUGUAACACAUAAGAAAAGAAAGUAGAAAUGUUCAGUCAAGAAAAGAAAACUAAUGAUGCUAGAAAAAGUAACAAAAUCCUUAGUAUAUAUAAAAAAGGAAAGUUUUUAUUAACAAUAAAAAAAAAGAGAGGGACGCUGGUGUCGAACCCGACAGCAGUAGGAAGAAAGACAAGCCUCCAAGGUCACUAGACCAAGGCGAAGCAUCUGAUAAAUAGUGCCCCUAAAUAUUUUAUAUUCUUUGGCGCCCAAAGCCUUUGCUUUAUGGGCUUUAGCCCAGAGCCGGCCCUGCAUAGACUCAUCCGUAUUUUCCAAGUGGGGUUGAAUUUAUCCGCCUUUUGAGAACUUGGCGUAUUGAACCUGGACAUCCAUCUACAGUAUUUCUCAUAUCCGGUGAUGAAUCAUGGUAUACUUACAGAUCAGCCUGGGCGGGAUUCAGUUGGCUUCGUGCAUAUCCAGGUCCUGAGCCACUAUCAACUAAAGAUGAUUGUUCUUCCGAAAAGUGGCUCUGGAAAGACUUACUUGAAGAGACUUGUGAAGAGACUCCUCUUAAGAUACGGAGCAGGAUACUUGAGUAUGAAAUGCCCUUUUUUUGCCGAGUAUGCACGUUUCAUUUCUCGAGCUUUGAUGUUUUCAUCAGCCAUCUUAAGAGUAGACAACACAAAAAGGAGGUAUGCCUCCUCCUACUCUCAGCUUUGUAUCAUUUACAUUUGCUAACCAAUAGUAUGAUAAUAAUUUCGGUUUGGUUAGCAGUUGCUUCUCAGUGUGGUUCCUUUUUACUACAUUUACAAUUAUCCUGACAAUACUUGCACACUUUGCGAGUAUCCAUAUUACAACGAUGCUAAUAGGAAGCUCCACUUGGAAAGUGAUGAACACAAAGUAAGCACCCUUGCCUCCCUCCUAGUCACAACUAGUAUCAUUACAUUUUUUUAUUGUAAGAUAACAUCUUGGUAUCAAAAUUUGACUCCCAUCUUUUCUUUUUUUUUAUGUGUUGGCUGAGCAGGCCGCCGCCGCCGCAAGUGUCUCUCAUGUGACAGAGGCUGUAGGAACCUUAUUUUACUACCAUAGGACAACUGAUAUUUGUAAAGAAUAAUAAGAACAUAAACUAAAAUUUCAAUACCAAAAUAUAAAAAUAAAGAAGAAUUGCAGAGUCGAGAUAGUUAAUCUCUUUCCUUAAAUCUUUAAACGCCCGUAGUGUGAUGGUUUUAUGGCGCUCAGAUUCCCAAGAUACAACUGCAGCAUUGUUUCUGUUUACCAUCACCGAAAAACAGAAUCUAUCGAACCUAUUUCUGUGAUGUACUCUCAGACUCAAAAUUAAAAAAAUACUAUCAUAACUAUUCUGAGUGGAGAAAUGUUUCUUGAUUGUAUGAAUGUGUGUUUUUCUAAAUGGCUCACAAGCCUUUAUAUAGAAAAUAAUGAGAAGCACAAGUUUCAUUUUUCAACACAAAAAUGAAACAUCCAUGGUGCACUAAUGAAGUUUUUAAUUCUUGUCAUUAUUAUGUGAAUUUAUUUCACAUUUUGACCAAGAAAUUAAAGAGUAAAAUUAUUAUUGUUUUGACCAAUUCAAACAAAAUAAUAUACUUUAAAAUGGAUUUCUUUUUUAUAUUUUAUCAAUAUAAAAGAUCAACAUAUAUUUGGUUUAUAAGAUUAAGUCAAUGAACAUGAAGUCCAACUAACAAAUCACAAAACCCAAAUUCAAGUUCAAAUAUCCAAUGUGUGUAUUUGCUACUUUAUACAAGUUUCUCAAAUCACACACAUUAGACCUCCAUUUCUCAUUCAAAUAAAAUUUCUUUUUUGACAUAUGAAUACAUUAUUCAUAAUGUUCAAAAAAUAGUUCCAACAAUCCCCCACAUGAAUAGAAAUGACUCUAUACACUAGACGACUCGACAUAGUUUCUAGACAAGACUCAACUUCCUAGACAAGACUCGACAAGACCUAACUAAGGACUUUUGAGAGUACAAACGAAAAAUCCACUGCAUGAUGAGUUGGUAGCAAUUUUUCAGCCUUGAACCAGUCAUUGUUAAUAGCUAUCGGAUUUACUCGGCCAGGAGGUGGCCAUGAUGUCUUGAACCUCCCGGGCUUUGGUGUAAACCUAGACAAUAGCUAUAACACAGCUUCAUUCUCUCACAGAACUAAGUUCUCUAUUGUGUUCAUUUUGGCCGUGAACAGUCUUGGUUAAUCAUGAGUGAACUUGGAGAAUAUAGUAUUUCCUUCAUUCUCCUAGAAACGGCCCCAUUUCACACUCACAAGGUGAUUUGCCAUUAACUUUGUUUAGAGGAGUAUCAUGUACUACUCCAUUCAUAUCUCAAAGCUAUGGACACAAAUCAUUAAAAGCAAAUGCUUAUCCUAUAAUCCUUACAUGUAGCACUGUUUAAUCAUCAUAGGAACUGGGUAUAGACCGAAGUCUUACAGUGCUUUGGGCAGAUUUAGUUUGACUUAGUUGUCUCCUUGAACCUAUUUCUUGGGAUCUCCAGUCAGUUAGGUAGAGUUACCGCCAAACUUCAUCUUAAUUCACAGGCUACCCAUUCCUUUAGAUGAUAUAACAACUUGAUCUCAUGACACACCUUUAAUUAAAGGAUCCUAGGUUGCCAUCACAGUGAACAUAAUUUCCUGAGAUUAGUCGAGAUCAAUUGUCUAAUGAUUUUUGUCAUCUUUUAUUCAAGAUACAAUUAAUCAUUAUACACAAAGCUUAGUGUAUGACACUAGUUUUUUUUCUUUAAAAAAAAAAUUAUAUUGUGAUAACUAUCACUAAGUUCAAACUUUAUAUGGUAUGCAAAAUUCCCCCACAUUUCUUGAGAUAACUCAAAAUUAUGCAUAUUAUUUACAUUUAACAUCUCUUAAGAGUUUAGAAAAUUAAUCUACAACUCUUUUAGAUUUAAAUGUUAAAAUUUUCUUUUUGAUGUAUUUCAUUCUCAGAAAUCACAUUUUACAUACAACUAUUUUCAUAGUUCUCUCAAGUUGAUUUAUAAAUCUAACUUGUAUGUUUUGGAUCUUUUCCAAAUACAUAUUUUGCUUCUUCUUCUUUUUUUAUAGAAAAUAUACAUAUCAUUAAAAGAUAUUAUUUUUGCCAUCAAAACCAAUUUUAUAUGAUUAUUCUCAACCAUAUUGACUUUAAAAACUACAAUACACAUGUCAGUUUUAGUCAUGUUGGUCUGAAAAUUCUCAUUGUUUUUGCAUUGUCAAUCUUUUUACAAAUUGCAUUUAAGCAUUGAUGAAAUAUAAAUGUUUUUGAUCAAUAUCAACAAACAUUUUAUUUCCUAUGGCAAAUGAUUUAUAUGUGGCAGACCUCUUUCAAACUUAAUUUGGAACGUCGACUCACAAAAAUUCAUUUCCAUUCAUAUAAUAUGAUCCCUUAAGAACCAGAAUAUUGGUACAUUUUACCAUACUUUGUACUUAAAUCAUUUUUCUUCUUUCAUGGUCAUCCAUGUGCGCUUAAUAAUUAAGUUACACCAUAAAGAGAAAAUCUGUAGCAAUAGAACAAACCCGUUAUUCAGUCUUGAUAAUCAAAUCAAACAAGUCAAAGCAUUAACACUUAUUUGACCAACUUAAAAAACAACAUUUUGACAAUUUAUUAAGAUACUAAAGGGAAAGCUCUUAAAUAUAAACCUUUAAAGCAAUUAAAAGAAAUUGCAAAACAUUAGAGCAUCAAACAUGGUCAAUACUAUGAACGAUGAUCAUGCUUGCUAAAGACAAAAGUUAAACACACGGAUUAACUAAUAAGCUGCAACUGGAAACAAUCUUUAAAAAAAAAUUAAUUCCCUGCAGAUUAGACACUCAGUCAACACCAAAAAGAAACAAGCAAUAUUCAGUUAUUCAAUUGAUAAUCAGAUGCGAACACUAAAGAUGACUGAACACGAUUAAUACUAGUAACCGAUUGUCUCUAAGUCGCAGAGAGAUUAUUUUGAAAUAAUUCAGCAGAUCCGAUUCGAGCAUCUUUUAACCUGUUCUUAAAAGAACAAGAACUUUUAACAAAUAUGAGUAUUGUUAGUGCAAAAGCAUAAACAAUAUUUAAAGAUUUAAGAGUGUAGAAACCUUAUUUUACUACCAUAAGACAACUGAUAUUUGUAAAGAAUAAUAAGAACAUAAACUAAAAUUUCAAUACCAAAAUAUAAAAAUAAAGAAGAAUUGCAGAGUCGAGAUAGUUAAUCUCUUUCCUUAAAUCUUUAAACGCCCCGUAGUGUGACGGUUUUAUGGCGUUCAGAUUUCCAAGAUACAACUGCAGCAUUGUUUCUGUUUACCAUCACCGAAAAACAGAAUCUAUCGAACCUAUUUCUGUGAUGUACUCUCAGACUCAAAAUUAAAAAAAUACUAUCAUAACUAUUCUGAGUGGAGAAAUGUUUCUUGAUUGUAUGAAUGUGUGUUUUUCUAAAUGGCUCACAAGCCUUUAUAUAGAAAAUAAUGAGAAGCACAAGUUUCAUUUUUCAACACAAAAAUGAAACCUCCAUGGUGCACUAAUGAAGUUUUUAAUUCUUGUCAUUAUUAUGUGAAUUUAUUUCACAUUUUGACCAAGAAAUUAAAGAGUAAAAUUAUUAUUGUUUUGACCAAUUCAAACAAAAUAAUAUACUUUAAAAUAGAUUUCUUUUUUAUAUUUUAUCAAUAUAAAAGAUCAACAUAUAUUUGGUUUAUAAGAUUAAGUCAAUGAACAUGAAGUCCAACUAACAAAUCAAAAAACCCAAAUCCAAGUUCAAAUAUCCAAUGUGUGUAUUUGUUACUUUAUACAAGUUUCUCAAAUCAUAACAUUUGAUCUCCAUUUCUCAUUCAAAUAAAAUUUAUUUUUUGACAUAUGAAUACAUUAUUCAUAAUGUUCAAAAAAUAGUUCCAACAGAGGCUUCCCUUGUCGAUCCACUUAACACAGGUCAAGAAAAGGAAGACGCCACCAGGAACAGAACUUCAGAAGAGCCUCUCUCGAAAGAGACUAAUUAAGAAGAAUAAUUAGUAAGGAACUAGACGAAGAAGAGUGCAUGCAUGGUCCUAUAUCGUGUUGCUCUUAAUCCUAAAAUAGUACUCUCUGCGUUUUUAUUUUAAUCGUCAGUUAAACUUCUGAUGCUUUUUUUCUACAUAUGGAGAUCGGAUAUAGUAUACCCUGUUGGUUUUGUUCCAUUA